GAGUUUGAUCAUGGCUCAGAAUCAACGCUGGCGGCGUGCCUAACACAUGCAAGUCGAACGCGAAAGUCCCGCAAGGGAUCAGUAGAGUGGCAAACGGGUGAGUAACACGUGGGUGACCUGCCUUCGAGUGGGGGAUAACGUCCCGAAAGGGUCGCUAAUACCGCAUGACAUCCUGCCUUUGAAGAGGUGGAGAUCAAAGCUGGGGAUCGCAAGACCUAGCGCUUGGAGAGGGGCCCGCGUCUGAUUAGCUAGUUGGUGGGGUAACGGCUCACCAAGGCUACGAUCAGUAUCCGGCCUGAGAGGGCGGACGGACACACUGGGACUGAGACACGGCCCAGACUCCUACGGGAGGCAGCAGUGGGGAAUUGUUCGCAAUGGGCGCAAGCCUGACGACGCAACGCCGCGUGGAGGAUGAAGACCUUCGGGUCGUAAACUCCUUUCGAUCGAGACGAAUGGUCUCCGG
rnacentral:rRNA from 1 species